AACAAACGCUGGCGGCGUGGCUAAGACAUGCAAGUCGAACGGAUUAGCUGAUUGAGUAAUCGAGACGCUAAUUAGUGGCGAAAGGGUUAGUAACGGAUAGGUAACGUACCCCGUGCUUCGGGAUAGCGCCGGUUGCUUCGGCAACCUUCCGAAAGGGGUGGUAAUACCGAGUAAUCUCAACGGAUGAUGGUCUGUUGAGCAAAGAUUUAUCGGCACAGGAGCGGCCUAUCUCCUAUCAGCUUGUUGGUGGGGUAAUGGCCUACCAAGGCUUCGACGGGUAGCGGGACUGAGAGGUUGACCCGCAACAUCGGGACUGAGACACUGCCCGGACCUCCACGGAGGGCUGCAGUAACGAAUAUUGCGCAAUGGGCGAAAGCCUGACGCAGCGACGCCGCGUGUGGGAGGAAGUCUUUCGGGAUGUAAACCACUGUCAGGGGUAAGAAAAUCCGCUCCGGCGGAUUGAUCCAACC
rnacentral:rRNA from 1 species